UUUGUAGUUUUUUAGAGCAUUCGGUGGAUGCCUUGGCACUAGGAGCCGAUGAAGGACGUGGUAGUCCGCGAUAGGCCUCGGGGAGUUGACAAACGAGCGUUGAUCCGAGGGUGUCCGAAUGGGGGAACCCGGCCAGAGUUAUGUCUGGUUACCCGCGCUUGAAUGUAUAGGGCGUGUGGGGGGAACGCGGGGAAGUGAAACAUCUCAGUACCCGUAGGAAAAGAUAUUCCGUGAGUAGUGGCGAGCGAAAGCGGAUGAUGGCUAAACCAGGGGUGUGUGAUACUCGGCAGGGGUUGCAUUCUUGGGGUUGUGGGACGCGUGCGUCAUGGUCUGCCGGCUGUGGACGAGUGGCAUUGGGUGUAGGUGAAAGGUCUGGGAAGGCCUGCCGUAGACGGUGAGAGCCCGGUAACUGAAAUGUCUGGUGUGCUUGUUGUGUGUGUUCCCGAGUAGGACGGGGCCCGUGAAAUCCCGUGUGAAUCUGGCAAGACCACUUGCUAAGCCUGAAUACUACCUAGUGACCGAUAGCGGAUCAGUACCGUGAGGGAAUGGUGAAAAGUACCCCGUGAGGGGAGUGAAAUAGUACCUGAAACCGGAUGCUUACAAUCCGUCGGAGCCUUCUUUUUGUGGGGUGACGGCGUGCCUUUUGAAGAAUGAGCCUGCGAGUUACUGGUAUGUGGCGAGGUUAACCCGGGUGGGGAAGCCGUAGCGAAAGCGAGUCUGAAAUAUGGCGUUUUAGUCGCAUGCUGUAGACCCGAAGCGGAGUGAUCUACCCAUGGUCAGGUUGAAGCACGUGUAAGAGCGUGUGGAGGACCGAACCCACUUCAGUUGAAAAUGGAGGGGAUGAACUGUGGGUAGGGGUGAAAGGCCAAUCAAACUCCGUGAUAGCUGGUUCUCCCCGAAAUGCAUUUAGGUGCAGCGUUACGUGUGCUUGCUGGAGGUAGAGCUACUGGAUGGCCGAUGGGCCCUACAAGGUUACUGACGUCAACCAAACUCCGAAUGCCAGUAUAGUUGAGCGUGGCAGUGAGACUGCGGGGGAUAAGCUUCGUAGUCGAGAGGGAAACAGCCCAGAUCACCGGCUAAGGCCCCUAAGCGUGUGCUCAGUGGGAAAGGAUGUGGAGUUGCACAGACAACCAGGAGGUUGGCUUAGAAGCAGCCAUCCUUGAAAGAGUGCGUAAUAGCUCACUGGUCAAGUGAUUCCGCGCCGACAAUGUAGCGGGGCUCAAGCACACCGCCGAAGCCGUGGCAUCAACACGUUAUUCCCCC
rnacentral:ncRNA from 1 species